rnacentral:rRNA from 1 species
GACGAACGCUGGCGGCGUGCUUAACACAUGCAAGUCGAGCGGGAUCCAACCGGUGGCAACACCGGGGAAGAUCUAGCGGCGAACGGGUGAGUAACACGUGAGCAACCUGCCCCGAAGACUGGGAUAACACCGGGAAACCGGUGCUAAUACCGGAUGUCGUCAUUAGGCCGCAUGACCUGAUGAUGAAAGGAUUCAUCGCUUCGGGAGGGGCUCGCGGGCUAUCAGCUUGNGGUGGGGUAACGGCCUACCAAGGCGACGACGGCUAGCUGGUCUGAGAGGACGACCAGCCACACUGGGACUGAGACACGGUCCGGACUCCUACGGGAGGCAGCAGUGGGGAAUCUUGCGCAAUGGGCGAAAGCCUGACGCAGCGACGCCGCGUGAGGGAUGACGGCCUGGU